rnacentral:siRNA from 1 species
AUAGAGCAUUGUACAGAAUGAUGC